GGUCAAGUGAAGAAGCGCAUACGGUGGAUGCCUUGGCAGUCAGAGGCGAUGAAAGACGUGGUAGCCUGCGAAAAGCUUCGGGGAGUCGGCAAACAGACUGUGAUCCGGAGAUGUCUGAAUGGGGGAACCCAGCCAUCAUAAGAUGGUUAUCUUGUACUGAAUACAUAGGUGCAAGAGGCGAACCAGGGGAACUGAAACAUCUAAGUACCCUGAGGAAAAGAAAUCAACCGAGAUUCCCUUAGUAGUGGCGAGCGAACGGGGACUAGCCCUUAAGUGGCUUUGAGAUUAGCGGAACGCUCUGGAAAGGGCGGCCAUAGUGGGUGAUAGCCCUGUACGCGAAAAUCUCUUGUCAUGAAAUCGAGUAGGACGGAGCACGAGAAACUUUGUCUGAAUAUGGGGGGACCAUCCUCCAAGGCUAAAUACUACUGACUGACCGAUAGUGAACUAGUACCGUGAGGGAAAGGCGAAAAGAACCCCGGAGAGGGGAGUGAAAUAGAUCCUGAAACCGUAUGCGUACAAGCAGUGGGAGCCCACUUUGUUGGGUGACUGCGUACCUUUUGUAUAAUGGGUCAGCGACUUAUUUUCAGUGGCGAGCUUAACCGAAUAGGGGAGGCGUAGCGAAAGCGAGUCUUAAUAGGGCGUCUAGUCGCUGGGAAUAGACCCGAAACCGGGCGAUCUAUCCAUGGCAGGUUGAAGGUUGGGUAACACUAACUGGAGGACCGAACCGACUACCGUUGAAAAGUUAGCGGAUGACCUGUGGAUCGGAGUGAAAGGCUAAUCAAGCUCGGAGAUAGCUGGUUCUCCUCGAAAGCUAUUUAGGUAGCGCCUCAUGUAUCACUGUAGGGGGUAGAGCACUGUUUCGGCUAGGGGGUCAUCCCGACUUACCAAACCGAUGCAAACUCCGAAUACCUACAAGUGCCGAGCAUGGGAGACACACGGCGGGUGCUAACGUCCGUCGUGAAAAGGGAAACAACCCAGACCGUCAGCUAAGGUCCCAAAGUUAUGGUUAAGUGGGAAACGAUGUGGGAAGGCUUAGACAGCUAGGAGGUUGGCUUAGAAGCAGCCACCCUUUAAAGAAAGCGUAAUAGCUCACUAGUCGAGUCGGCCUGCGCGGAAGAUGUAACGGGGCUCAAACCAUACACCGAAGCUACGGGUAUCACUUAGGUGAUGCGGUAGAGGAGCGUUCUGUAAGCCUGUGAAGGUGAGUGAGAAGCUUGCUGGAGGUAUCAGAAGUGCGAAUGCUGACAUGAGUAACGACAAUGGGUGUGAAAAACACCCACGCCGAAAGACCAAGGUUUCCUGCGCAACGUUAAUCGACGCAGGGUUAGUCGGUCCCUAAGGCGAGGCUGAAAAGCGUAGUCGAUGGAAAACAGGUUAAUAUUCCUGUACUUCUGGUUAUUGCGAUGGAGGGACGGAGAAGGCUAGGCCAGCUUGGCGUUGGUUGUCCAAGUUUAAGGUGGUAGGCUGGAAUCUUAGGUAAAUCCGGGAUUCUAAGGCCGAGAGCUGAUGACGAGUUACCCUUUGGGUGACGAAGUGGUUGAUGCCAUGCUUCCAAGAAAAGCUUCUAAGCUUCAGGUAACCAGGAACCGUACCCCAAACCGACACAGGUGGUUGGGUAGAGAAUACCAAGGCGCUUGAGAGAACUCGGGUGAAGGAACUAGGCAAAAUGGCACCGUAACUUCGGGAGAAGGUGCGCCGGUGAGGGUGAAGCACUUGCUGCGUAAGCCCACGCCGGUCGAAGAUACCAGGCCGCUGCGACUGUUUAUUAAAAACACAGCACUCUGCAAACACGAAAGUGGACGUAUAGGGUGUGACGCCUGCCCGGUGCCGGAAGGUUAAUUGAUGGGGUUAGCUAACGCGAAGCUCUUGAUCGAAGCCCCGGUAAACGGCGGCCGUAACUAUAACGGUCCUAAGGUAGCGAAAUUCCUUGUCGGGUAAGUUCCGACCUGCACGAAUGGCGUAACGAUGGCGGCGCUGUCUCCACCCGAGACUCAGUGAAAUUGAAAUCGCUGUGAAGAUGCAGUGUAUCCGCGGCUAGACGGAAAGACCCCGUGAACCUUUACUAUAGCUUUGCACUGGACUUUGAAUUUGCUUGUGUAGGAUAGGUGGGAGGCUUUGAAGCGUGGACGCCAGUUCGCGUGGAGCCAACCUUGAAAUACCACCCUGGCAACUUUGAGGUUCUAACUCAGGUCCGUUAUCCGGAUCGAGGACAGUGUAUGGUGGGUAGUUUGACUGGGGCGGUCUCCUCCUAAAGAGUAACGGAGGAGUACGAAGGUGCGCUCAGACCGGUCGGAAAUCGGUCGUAGAGUAUAAAGGCAAAAGCGCGCUUGACUGCGAGACAGACACGUCGAGCAGGUACGAAAGUAGGUCUUAGUGAUCCGGUGGUUCUGUAUGGAAGGGCCAUCGCUCAACGGAUAAAAGGUACUCCGGGGAUAACAGGCUGAUACCGCCCAAGAGUUCAUAUCGACGGCGGUGUUUGGCACCUCGAUGUCGGCUCAUCACAUCCUGGGGCUGAAGCCGGUCCCAAGGGUAUGGCUGUUCGCCAUUUAAAGUGGUACGCGAGCUGGGUUUAGAACGUCGUGAGACAGUUCGGUCCCUAUCUGCCGUGGACGUUUGAGAUUUGAGAGGGGCUGCUCCUAGUACGAGAGGACCGGAGUGGACGAACCUCUGGUGUUCCGGUUGUCACGCCAGUGGCAUUGCCGGGUAGCUAUGUUCGGAAAAGAUAACCGCUGAAAGCAUCUAAGCGGGAAACUUGCCUCAAGAUGAGAUCUCACUGGGACCUUGAGUCCCCUGAAGGGCCGUCGAAGACUACGACGUUGAUAGGUGGGGUGUGUAAGCGCUGUGAGGCGUUGAGCUAACCCAUACUAAUUGCCCGUGAGGCUUGACCAU
rnacentral:rRNA from 1 species